rnacentral:lncRNA from 1 species
UGACUAACAUGGUGAAACCCCACCUCUACUAAAAAUACAAAAAUUAGCCGGGCAUGGUGGUGUGUGCCUGUAGUCCCAGCUACCUGGGAGGCUGAGGCAGGAGAAUCGGCUUGAACCCAGGAGGUGGAGGUUGCAGUGAGCCGAGCUCAUACCAUUGCACUCCAGCCUGGGCAACAGGGCAAGACUCUGUCUCAAAAAAAAAAAAAAAAAGACCUUGAGGGAAGGUGGGGAGCUCUUGGCCCCGGAUUGCACAAUCGACCUGGGUCAUGCUGGGCCGGCUCAGUGUUCUCAGGCACAGCAGCUCCGCCGGUCCCCUGGUCCAAGGCUCCAGAACCUAGGAGCAACCCUGACCUCUGACCUCAGGCAUGCGACAGGUUGUCUAGGACUGCGCCCUGGCAACGGGGCUGCAGACAAGCCUGGCAGGACCGGCCUGGAGGCAGCAGCCUCGAAUGAGCCCCACUCUCUGCAGCUCAGAAGGAGCGGAGGCCUCUCCCACAGCACCCAGCACACCCGGAACGCCUGCGGCAGAGGACCCACCUGCCUGACCCAUGGCCCGCCCGGGCCGGGUGCUGGAGGGAGCCACUGUCCUUCACCUUGGAGGGAAACCUAGUGUUCGCCCGUGUGGCACCUGCAAAGCAACACCUGGAGGCAACAUCACCCAGCAACAUGGACGUCAGGGCGAAAAACAGAAAGCACCAAGGAAUACACAAGGCCCUGGAAAAUUACUUACAACGGAGGCAAGGAGGAGUCUCCACCCUCGGAAAUCCGCAUGUUCCCGUGUGUGUGUGUGGGGGGGGGGGGG